UCGGAGAGUUUGAUCCUGGCUCAGGACGAACGCUGGCGGCGUGCCUAAUACAUGCAAGUCGAGCGAAUCGACGGGAGCUUGCUCCCUGAGAUUAGCGGCGGACGGGUGAGUAACACGUGGGCAACCUGCCUAUAAGACUGGGAUAACUUCGGGAAACCGGAGCUAAUACCGGAUACGUUCUUUUCUCGCAUGAGAGAAGAUGGAAAGACGGUUUACGCUGUCACUUAUAGAUGGGCCCGCGGCGCAUUAGCUAGUUGGUGAGGUAAUGGCUCACCAAGGCGACGAUGCGUAGCCGACCUGAGAGGGUGAUCGGCCACACUGG
rnacentral:rRNA from 1 species